CAACCAGAGAGCUUACUCAAGUGAUCCUGGAUUAGAGCAACGGUAAAUGGAAAUGCAAUGUGUACACGCCACUGCCCACCUACUCGGGGUUUCUAUCACAUUCCCUACAGCGUGUCAAGUCAACGACAAUUUUCACUGGCUGGGAUUUAAACAGCGGGGAAUUAGAAGAAGCCUUUGGGAGGAUUUUACAAGCUGCAGGAGAGACUCGGGAUGAGGAGCCUGGAGACCUGCCCCCUCCCCUUCCGCUCUGCCACCUAGGAUGAGUCUCCCAGCCUCACUAAGCCUUGGCAAGUUCAUCCCUGAAAGAGAGAUGGUGUGUCCCACCAUGCCCACUCCAGAGUUGUUUCAGAAAUGACAAGAGGUGCCCUCCUUUGUGAACAUAUCACAGGGAUACGAUGGGAAGCAAGGAUGAGACUCUACUGGUAUAAAGUACAGCUGGAAAGGACCCAGUUGCCUAGGGGAUGUUCCUGUGUGGCCCAUCUCUUCUUCAGGGAUGCUGAAGAUGAAACAAAUGGAGGAGUUGGUAAGAACAGUCUUAAGGAUAAGUAAGAGGCUACUCAGACUGCUGUUUCUCAGACCGUCCCUCUUCAGUACAUGGAGUCAAAUCACUGUGAUAUGGCUACUACCUGUGUGGGCCUUCACACCAAAGACAAGCAAGCUGAGGUAGCAUUCUAUGUCUCCCUCGAA